rnacentral:rRNA from 1 species
UACGUAGGGUGCGAGCGUUGUCCGGAAUUAUUGGGCGUAAAGGCUCGUAGGCGGUUUGUCACGUCAGGAGUGAAAACUCGGGGCUCAACCCCGAGCCUGCUUCUGAUACGGGCAGACUAGAGGUAUGCAGGGGAGAACGGAAUUCCUGGUGUAGCGGUGAAAUGCGCAGAUAUCAGGAGGAACACCGGUGGCGAAGGCGGUCUCUGGGCAUUACCUGACGCUGAGGAGCGAAAGUGUGGGGGAGCGAACAGG